GGGGAAUAUUGCGCAAUGGGGGAAACCCUGACGCAGCAAUACCGCGUGAGUGAAGAAGGUUUUCGGAUCGUAAAGCUCUGUUAUUGGGGAAGAAAAAAAGACGGUACCCAAGAAGAAAGUCCCGGCUAACUACGUGCCAGCAGCCGCGGUAAUACGUAGGGGACAAGCGUUGUCCGGAUUUACUGGGCGUAAAGGGCACGCAGGCGGUUUUUUAAGUCAGAUGUGAAAGGUACCGGCUCAACCGGUAACAUGCAUUUGAAACUGAAAGACUUGAGUAUUGGAGAGGCAAGUGGAAUUCCUAGUGUAGCGGUGAAAUGCGUAGAUAUUAGGAGGAACACCGGUGGCGAAGGCAGGUCACUGGGCCGCAACUGACGCUGAGGAGCGAAAGCAUGGGGAGCGAACA
rnacentral:rRNA from 1 species